rnacentral:lncRNA from 1 species
CCCCUUUGACACUGGCUAUCUGCCUUUUCUAGAUUCUGCGGUAAGACUGAAAAAUAAACAUCACUUAAAGGAAAGAAAGAAAGACCUCGGCGAGGCCGUCGCUGCCGUCCCUGUCUGCGUGCUCUCCACCCGCCAAGUGCACGCGGGUUCUCCACGCAUCCGCGUCCUGCGCGGCAGCCCUUUCCCGCCCUUAGCGCCUCUCUGGCUGAAGUUUCCAGAACCUGGAUUCUGUUGGCCAAUUCACGUUCCAGGAAGCGCCCGCGCGCGUGCGCAGCGAGCGACCCUGAGCUUUUGGGCGGGCGUCUUCUAUUUCACUGGGCACGACUGAGGAAAGAAGCGUCGGGCCCCUGCGGGCUGAGCCUCGGCGGACUGUUCCAGCUCUGCUCGCAUUCCCGCAGCGGCGCUACUUCCUCUAGCCGAAAAGCUCAGUUACCGCUGCGGAUCGGACGAGAGCUGCCGUUAAGGCAGAGAGGGCCAAGGAGCGAAGAGCCAGCUGCUCCGCAGGAGGCAGCUUCGGACACACACCCCUCGCGCUCUCAUCACAUCCCUGCCGUCAACCGCAGAUGGGUGAGUGGGAGGACCUUGAGAUGAUUCUAACUCCACCCUUCAAACCACCCCAGCUUGACUGAAUGGAGCAGAGACAAGUCUUCUCCGCCGUCCCCUGUCCG